AACAUAUUACCGAAGCUGUGGAUUGUCCUUUGGACAAUGGUAGGAGAGCGUUCUAAGGGCGUUGAAGCAUGAUCGUAAGGACAUGUGGAGCGCUUAGAAGUGAGAAUGCCGGUGUGAGUAGCGAAAGACGGGUGAGAAUCCCGUCCACCGAUUGACUAAGGUUUCCAGAGGAAGGCUCGUCCGCUCUGGGUUAGUCGGGUCCUAAGCUGAGGCCGACAGGCGUAGGCGAUGGAUAACAGGUUGAUAUUCCUGUACCACCUAUAAUCGUUUUAAUCGAUGGGGGGACGCAGUAGGAUAGGCGAAGCGUGCGAUUGGAUUGCACGUCUAAGCAGUAAGGCUGAGUAUUAGGCAAAUCCGGUACUCGUUAAGGCUGAGC
rnacentral:rRNA from 1 species